CCCCAGGUAGCUCAGUGGGCAGAGCAUGAGACUCUUAAUCUCAGGGGCGUGGGUUCGAGCCCCACGCCGGGCA